CGUCAUCCCCACCUUCCUCACGGUUUACACCGGCAGUCUCGCUAGAGUCCUCAGCUUUACCUGCUAGUAACUAACGAUAGGGGUUGCGCAAGCCUGAUGCAGCAACGCCGCGUGAGCGAUGAAGGCCUUCGGGUCGUAAAGCUCUGUCCUCAAGGAAGAAUAAAUGACGGUACUUGAGGAGGAAGCCCCGGCUAACUACGUGCCAGCAGCCGCGGUAAUACGUAGGGGGCAAGCGUUAUCCGGAAUCACUGGGCGUAAAGGGUGCGUAGGCGGUUUUUCAAGUCAGAAGUGAAAGGCUAUGGCUCAACCAUAGUAAGCUUUUGAAACUGUAAAACUUGAGUGCAGGAGAGGAAAGUGGAAUUCCUAGUGUAGAGGUGAAAUUCGUAGAUAUUAGGAGGAACA
rnacentral:rRNA from 1 species